UACGAAGGGGGCUAGCGUUGCUCGGAAUCACUGGGCGUAAAGCGCACGUAGGCGGAUUUUUAAGUCAGGGGUGAAAUCCUGGAGCUCAACUCCAGAACUGCCUUCGAUACUGGGAGUCUCGAGUCCGGGAGAGGUGAGUGGAACUGCGAGUGUAGAGGUGAAAUUCGUAGAUAUUCGCAAGAACACCAGUGGCGAAGGCGGCUCACUGGCCCGGUACUGACGCUGAGGUGCGAAAGCGUGGGGAGCAAACAGG
rnacentral:rRNA from 1 species